AAUUAUUUAGUUUAUGUAUUGCUUAUUUGAAAACAAUAAUAAAAAAUAUAGGUAACCGAUGAGUAGAAAAAGAUAUUUCAAUUCUAGUGCCAAAAAAUAGCAUUUUUGCACCAAAGGAAGAUAAUUUGGAGCUUUUUCAAUGAGAUAAACAUUUUAAAAGUCAUCUGGGGCCAAACCGAAUCGAUUUUUUUUUUUUUUUUUUGUAUCAUAUCAUAAAGUAUUAACUAAUAGUGUAAUUAAUAAAAUUUGUUAUUAUGUUUUGCUGAAAUUUUUGUACCCGCGAGCCUCCUUAAGUUAUGUUACCUCCCCUUGAUUACUGCUGC
rnacentral:lncRNA from 1 species